rnacentral:rRNA from 1 species
UACGUAGGGACCGAGCGUUGUCCGGAAUCAUUGGGCGUAAAGAGCGUGUAGGCGGCCACUUAAGUCCUGCGUGAAAUCUUGCGGCUCAACCGCAAGCGGUCGUGGGAAACUGGGUGGCUAGAGUGCGGGAGAGGGAUGCGGAAUUCCAGGUGUAGCGGUGAAAUGCGUAGAUAUCUGGAGGAACACCGGUGGCGAAGGCGGCAUCCUGGACCGGUAUUGACGCUGAGGCGCGAAAGCCAGGGGAGCAAACGGG